rnacentral:rRNA from 1 species
AUGUUGAUGCAAGACUACUUCACGGAGAAUCCUACAUAUCCACCGCACCUCUUCCGGAGAAGGUACCGAAUGCGCCGAUCCCUCUUUGUCAAAAUUGUGCAAGCUUGCGAGGAAAAUUGCCGGUAUUUUACUCAAAGAAGAAAUGUUGCGGGCUUAAAGGGAUUUAGCGCAUAUCAAAAAAUCUCCGCGACAAUGCGGGUGAUUGCAUAUGGUGUUCCGGCUGACUAUGCCAAUGAGUACCUUCGCAUUGGUGAAGAUACUACAACUGAGUUUGUGCGUAGAUUUACAAAGGUGAUCAUCCGUGUCUUUGGUCCUGAGUAUCUUCGGGCACCCAACGAAGAUGACACAAAGAAAUUGAUGGCAACUAAUGAGAGGAGGUUGGCCUGGCAUGCUAGGUAG